AUGUCUUCACCUCCCGCCCCUAUCAACUUGGCCCCGUCCGCACUGACCCUCAAGCUGCUCAUCGACAAGAAGGCCAAUUGCGUCUUGUACGCGGAGGCCGGAAAGGAGGCUGUAGACUUCCUCUUUAGCCUCCUAGCGAUGCCCAUAGGCACUGUAGCCAAGGUACUUCAGACCCGAAGUGAUGGGGUAGGCGUGGCCAACAUCUAUGAUAGUGCCGAGAAAAUGGAUACCAGGUACAUGCACAGCAAGAUCGUGCAAGAGGCGCUCUUGAGCUCAUGUAGGCCCUUGUUCCUUCAACGCCCUAUCACAACACACCCAGCGGCACCUUCCAUGCGGGCAUCUGUUCACAGGGCGACAUCUUACCCACUACAGUAUGCAUCAGUAACUGCACAUGCGCUGGCGCCUACGGGCAUGGCGGCAGAUGUUGCACGUGACUCCUCUCUCUAUGGGUCUAUCAUAGCCGGCGGCGGGCACGUGCAAGGCCUGGUUACUUACACUAUCAUGGAUGACCUCACGAUCACCCCCAUGUCCAACAUAUCCGCGGUGGUGCUGAUAACCAAGCUCAAUAGGGAACAAAAGGACCUCGUGCUCGAGGAGAAGUCUGUGAAGAUUGGUAACAAAGAGGCGCUCGAUAUUCUCAAGGCUUCAAUGAAUUCCAAUACUGUCCUCACUGAUGUGUUCCUGUCUAACAACAAUACUGAUGUCUCCCUAUCCAAGAAUAAAAGGGCUCGUACAUCCAGUGGUGAGAAGAAACAAUAUAACAUCCCGGAUUUAUAUAUAUGA
rnacentral:rRNA from 1 species